UACGGGGGGAGCAAGCGUUAUCCGGAUUCACUGGGUUUAAAGGGUGCGUAGGAGGGCAGGUAAGUCAGUGGUGAAAUCUUCGAGCUUAACUCGGAAACUGCCGUUGAUACUAUCUGUCUUGAAUAUUGUGGAGGUGAGCGGAAUAUGUCAUGUAGCGGUGAAAUGCUUAGAUAUGACAUAGAACACCAAUUGCGAAGGCAGCUCGCUACACAUAUAUUGACUCUGAUGCACGAAAGCGUGGGGAUCAAACAGG
rnacentral:rRNA from 1 species